ACCCCAUCACAUAAGCCGACAAAGAGAGUAUAUUUAACCAGCUCUCUAUGUGACUAGAGAUGGGAAAAUUAAAUCUGCUCCGAUGUGUGUAUGUUUUGAGACAAAAAAACAUUUACGUCUCUUCACAAAGAAAAUUUCAGAGUACA